rnacentral:rRNA from 1 species
AGUGAACGCUGGCGGUAGGCCUAACACAUGCAAGUCGAACGGCAGCACAGUAAGAGCUUGCUCUUACGGGUGGCGAGUGGCGGACGGGUGAGGAAUACAUCGGAAUCUACUUUUUCGUGGGUGAUAACGUAGGGAAACUUACGCUAAUACCGCAUACGACCUACGGGUGAAAGCCGGGGAUCUUCGGACCUUGCGCGAUUGAAUGAGCCGAUGUCGGAUUAGCUAGUUGGCGGUGUAAAGGCCCACCAAGGCGACGAUCCGUAGCUGGUCUGAGAGGAUGAUCAGCCACACUGGAACUGAGACACGGUCCAGACUCCUACGGGAGGCAGCAGUGGGGAAUAUUAGACAAUGGGCGCAAGCCUGAUCCAGCAAUACCGCGUGAGUGAAGAAGGCCUUCGGGUUGUAAAGCCCUUUUGUUGGGAAAGAAAAGCAGCAGGUUAAUACCCCGCUGUUCUGACGGUACCCAAAGAAUAAGCACCGGCUAACUUCGUG